rnacentral:rRNA from 1 species
GUCCACGCCGUAAACUAUGGAUGCUAGCCGUCGGAUAGCUUGCUAUUCGGUGGCGCAGCUAACGCAUUAAGCAUCCCGCCUGGGGAGUACGGCCGCAAGGUUAAAACUCAAAAGGAAUUGACGGGGGGCCCCGCACAAGCGGUGGAGCAUGUGGUUUAAUUCGACGCAACGCGAAGAACCUUACCAGCUCUUGACAUUCACUGAUCGCCUGGGGAGACCUGGGAUCCUAGCAAUAGGCAGUGGACAGGUGCUGCAUGGCUGUCGU